CAUUUUAUUUGUAAAUUCAAUUUACAUGGAAUAACAAAGAAAUAUUGAUUAAAUUGUACAUAUUUAUUUUUACAAUUAUGCGCCGAUCAUAAAAUAAUCGCGAGAGCCGGCGGCGCCCGCGCGAUAAACAUAUUCUGAAAAAGCAUUAGACGCCGGCGAUCGCCUCGGAGCUCGAAGUCAGAAAACGUUAGAUGGGGGAAGAGGCAGAGGAGAAAGGGACAAACUCAGCCGCGAACGUAGCCGAGUGCGCGACGGCUCACGCCGAUCGCAGCCGAGCGCGCGUGCCUCACGGAUAGGGGGAGUGCGAUGUGUGCGUGAGCGUGCCCGGGCUUGAAAUCGCAUCACAGGACUGGCCAUCAUCAGGGGGCCACUUUUAAUUGGUCCGACUGCCACCAGACGACGCAACGAUUUUGACUGGCGCAAUGUGGCGCAUUCGGUUGCCAGGACUGGCGCAUUGAUGUAUCUAAAACCUGGCAACCCUGGCUCGGCCAGCGACCGACCGCGCGCGAGGUCCGCGAGUUCGCGCAGUCAGGUGCAGUAGUGAAUCAGUAGUGAUCAAACAAUGCCCCGAGUGGUCGGGUAUACGCGUCGCGGCUGAGAACGAGGACGAGAGAGCCGAGGGACGCGUGUGAUCGUUUGGCGUGAUUCGUUAUGAGACUCUCGGAGCGCCCGCUCCCGGCGCGGUUCGCUUAACGCGCGCUGUUUUUGGUGCGCUCGGUCCUUCCACUUAGCGUCGUGCAAUUCGAUAGGAGACGCCGUCCACAAAAUUCACCGCAGGAUGGCCGUGGAACCUCGUGUGACCGGGAACGCAAAGCCCCUGGUACCGCUCUUCACCAAAGCGUCUGACUGCGUAAACACCAGCUGUUAUUGGUAAGUGUGAGUGACGAUGACGCGGCGACGGCGGCGGCGGCGGCUGCGACGCUGUCAACAGCGUACCCGACCCGGUCCGGUCCGCUUUGCUGUCGGGGCCGCCGAUCGAUCCUCGGACAAACAAACGCGUCGUAUUGCGGCAUGCACCGUGCUCCGGAUCGAUACGUUGCGGCGGUGCGGACGACCGCGCGACACGGGCGCGCGACCGUUUUCGCGGCGCGCGAUUCGAAACCGCGUACCAUCGGUUCUCCCGUGUAUUUCUUAUCGUUUCCCGGAAACGGGAGAUCUGUUCCUUUCGACUUCUCGUGCACGCUCCGCUUUUCCUCUCUUCUCCUGUUUCCUCUUUUUACGGCGGAGACAAAAAGGAGAAAAAAAAGCUAUGGAAAGGGAACAGGGGCUUGAUUCUUGAAUUCAUUUGCAAGAGAAACGUAUAUGCGCAAAUACUCGCUCUAACAGAAAAGUUGCAAAAGUUUAUUGGUUAAAAGCUAUACGAUAGCCAAUAAAUUUUCAACUUUUCUCUAAGAACAGAAUUUGCGAAUAAUUGCGUAUUCUCUUGCGAAUGUAUUCAAGAAUCGAACCCCAGGCCUAAAGUUUCAUGACGUGAUAAUAGCCCGUUACCACGUAUGUAAAUACGUCGGAAAGUUAAAGUAAGGAUUGAUUAAGUGUAACUUGGAAUCUGGAAUUAAUUUGCAGCGAACGACAUUUCUUCGUCACGCGGAUUGAAUUUAUUUUAAACGGUCUCUAUUAAUGCACAAGGUGUUUGUAAAUACGUAGACGAUUUGAGGAUAGAUUUUCCAUAGAAAAUUUACAUUUCGAGUAACCUAUUUCGAGGGAGAUCGAUAAGUAUAUAGGUCAGAGAUUUUAACGGGUGGGCUUCGUGCUUAUUCCGCUGUUUUCUGCCCCAGCUACCUUCCGCGAGAUGAAUUUUCGUAUUUCGGGGGUUUUCCCUUCCGUACAAUACAGCCGCGCUGUGACACCGCUGUUUAUUGCCGAUAUUGCUUUCAAGUAUCGUUUAAACGGCGCGAGUGCACGAGCCUCCCCCCACCCCUCUCCCGUCCUCGCAUUUAUUGCAAUUAAUAAUGCAUGCGAUAAAUAAUGCGCCACGCGAAAUGUGGCGGCACGCGAAGCCGUUGUGCUAAAGUCCGCUUGCACAAGUCGCACGAUUAUGGAUCGGUUUCAUUUCCUUCGUAAUUGCGCAGAACACGUAACCAGGUUGGGGAGACGCAAUUCUUCUUAGCCUCUCUACUAGUGCGUCUCUGCGUCUCUUUCUCUCUCUUUCUCUCUCUCUCUUUCUUUUCUAUCGUGAUUGUCUGAUCCAACAGCUGCGCACUGCACACAGAAAAAUUUAUUCUUAUAUUGAGAAAAGUAGCUUUUCAAUUUUUAGUCUUAUUCUUUUAAGUAACAGUUAUCUCUGUAAAGAAUAUUUCCUUGAUGAAUAAUCUUAAAUACACUCAUUAUUUACUGGAAACAAGUUAGAUUUACUUAAAAUAAACUUCUGUGUACACAUAGAAUGUGUACUUGAAUGAAAUAAGUAUCACUUAUUUUAAAUAAUUCAUAAGUUUAGAUAUUUGCAAGGUAUCUGUUGUAAGUUAUAAUUCAUAAGUAACAAACUUAUGUAGAAAAAAUAUAUUCUGAAUCCUAGUAAUUUAAUACUUCAAUUCAGAAUAUUAAGUUAAAAUAAAAAUUUAAUUUACUUAUUACUUUGACUUUUCUUUAAUUCAGUUCUAUAUAAUAUUCUUUGAAAAAGUACAAAUUCUUUUUUCAAGAAUAUGACAAUGUGUUUUUCUAGUGAUAAGUAUAUUUUAAAA